AGAGGAAGUAAAAGUCGUAACAAGGUCUCCGUUGGUGAACCAGCGGAGGGAUCAUUACCGAGUUAUACAACUCAUCAACCCUGUGAACAUACCUAAACGUUGCCUCGGCGGGAACAGACGGCCCCGUGAAAACGGGCCGCCCCCGCCAGAGGACCCCCUAACUCUGUUUCUAUAAUGUUUCUUCUGAGUAAAACAAGCAAAUAAAUUAAAACUUUCAACAACGGAUCUCUUGGCUCUGGCAUCGAUGAAGAACGCAGCGAAAUGCGAUAAGUAAUGUGAAUUGCAGAAUUCAGUGAAUCAUCGAAUCUUUGAACGCACAUUGCGCCCGCCAGUAUUCUGGCGGGCAUGCCUGUUCGAGCGUCAUUACAACCCUCAGGCCCCCGGGCCUGGCGUUGGGGAUCGGCGGAGGCCCUCCGUGGGCACACGCCGUCCCCCAAAUACAGUGGCGGUCCCGCCGCAGCUUCCAUCGCGUAGUAGCUAACACCUCGCGACUGGAGAGCGGCGCGGCCACGCCGUAAAACCCCCAACUCUUCUGAAGUUGACCUCGAAUCAGGUAGGAAUACCCGCUGAACUUAAGCAUAUCAAA
rnacentral:rRNA from 1 species